rfam:Schistosoma margrebowiei strain Zambia genome assembly, scaffold: SMRZ_contig0003150
AUUGACGAGUCCCAAACAGGACGAAACGCGCGUCCUGGAU